rnacentral:piRNA from 1 species
UUUGAAGUCGGGUAACUUGGGUUUGAGUC